UACGUAGGGUGCGAGCGUUAAUCGGAAUUACUGGGCGUAAAGCGUGCGCAGGCGGUUUUGUAAGCCAGAUGUGAAAUCCCCGGGCUUAACCUGGGAAUGGCAUUUGGGACUGCAAGGCUCGAGUGCGGCAGAGGAGACUGGAAUUCCUGGUGUAGCAGUGAAAUGCGUAGAUAUCAGGAGGAACACCGAUGGCGAAGGCAGGUCUCUGGGCUGACACUGACGCUCA
rnacentral:rRNA from 1 species